rnacentral:rRNA from 1 species
UGGCGACCGGCGCACGGGUGCGUAACGCGUAUGCAACCUACCCAUAACAGGGGGAGUAACACUGAGAAAUUGGUACUAAUACCCCAUAACAUCAGGACCGGCAUCGGUUCUGGUUGAAAACUCCGGUGGUUAUGGAUGGGCAUGCGUUGUAUUAGCUGGUUGGUGAGGUAACGGCUCACCAAGGCAACGAUACAUAGGGGGACUGAGAGGUUAACCCCCCACAUUGGUACUGAGACACGGACCAA